rnacentral:rRNA from 1 species
AUUGAACGCUGGCGGCAUGCUUUACACAUGCAAGUCGAACGGUAACGGGCCGCAAGGUGCUGACGAGUGGCGAACGGGUGAGUAAUGCAUCGGAACGUGCCCAGUCGUGGGGGAUAACUACUCGAAAGAGUAGCUAAUACCGCAUACGAUCUAUGGAUGAAAGCGGGGGACCGUAAGGCCUCGCGCGAUUGGAGCGGCCGAUGUCAGAUUAGGUAGUUGGUGGGGUAAAGGCUCCCCAAGCCAACGAUCUGUAGCUGGUCUGAGAGGACGACCAGCCACACUGGGCCUGAGACCCGGCCCAGACCCCUCCGGGAGGCAGCAGUGGGGAAUUUUGGACAAUGGGCGCAAGCCUGAUCCAGCAAUGCCGCGUGCAGGAAGAAGGCCUUCGGGUUGUAAACUGCUUUUGUACGGAACGAAACGGCUCUGGUUAAUACCCGGGGCUAAUGCCGGUACCGUAAGAAUAAGCACCGGCUAACUCCGU